GGUUUUUACCCUGUUAACCAAGGUAAUUCAAAAGUUCCGAUCUCUCGAAAGAGAGUGUCGAACACCUUUAUAAUUUUUCGAACCGCUCGACCGGGGUAUCCGGUUGGGCAAAA
rnacentral:snRNA from 13 species